rnacentral:lncRNA from 1 species
GGUGACAAUAAUAUACUACAAGAUUAGUGAAAUAUCAAUAUAUGUAGAGGCUCAAAAUAAAAUAAAAGUAACCUAACUUACAUGUAGAAUAGAACAAUUAAUACUGACUAUAUAUUAAAUAAGUUAUAUUCAAUUAAUCAAUUAAAAUAAGUUUAAAUUAAAACUCUAGGCCCAUUCCUCCAAUCAUACUUCAUUACCAUCACCUGCACUCAUAAGCAAGCCCAACCAUACAUUAUUAUUUUCAAUUAAAAAUAGAGCCCUAGUCAAAAUCUACACAAUUAAUAUACUCCAUAUGCGUUCUCUCUUAUGCACACUUGCACCCACAAUUUUCUCUCUCUACCCUGUAACUCUUUCUCUCUCUCGCUACUCUCUGUCACACCUUCAUCUCUCUCUUUACUUCACAUUUGCAAUAAAGAGUAAAUCUCAACCCCAAAUCCCUCUUCUUCUUCUUCUCUCUUCCCUUUUUCUUAAUUCCAAUGAAUAACCAGAAACACAGCUUGUUCUCUCGUAGACCUCACUGUCGUUCCCCAUCGUCGACUCACUCUUCUCACCUCGGCCCGACUAACGACACAAGAAACUGAGCCACAACUCAGCUAAAGCCGAUGCCGACGUCGACAGCGGCCAGUACUCUCAAUGCAGACAACGACACAAGAAAUUGAGCCACAAGUCAGCUAAAACUCAGCCAAGACUCUCUGUUCCCGAUCGGUGCCCUCAAAGCAAACAACAAAGCAAGAAACCCAACCACAAGACUGUAAUUCGAUUGUGUUAUGCUGAGCUCUGUUUUUUGUAAAAAUUCUAGGGUUAUUUAAAAAAUUAAUGAUAAAAAGUAGGGUGCAGAAAUCAAACUCACCUCCUUGCUUUGUUGAUGUAGUGGAUUUGUGUAGUGUGAUUUUUUGUUGGAUUAUGAUCAGAUUAUCCACUUUCACCGGGCAAAGAUUGACAGGAAAUCUCGUUCUGUUUUUGGUGCGAAACUGUAAACAUAGAAAGUAAAAAGUGAAAGUGAAGAAGAAAAAUCUGCAGA